GCUUCCGUAGCGCAGUCGGCAGCGCGUCAGUCUCAUAAUCUGAAGGUCGUGAGUUCGAGCCCCUCCGGGAGUA
rnacentral:tRNA from 1 species